rnacentral:rRNA from 1 species
GGGUCCUACGGGGGGCAGCAGUAGGGAAUUUUCGUCAAUGGGCGCAAGCCUGAACGAGCGAUGCCGCGUGAGUGAAGAAGGCCUUCGGGUCGUAAAGCUCUGUUGCGGGGGAAAAAAGGCAGCAUCAGGAAAUGGGUGCUGACUGAUGGUGCCCCGCCAGAAAGUCACGGCUAACUACGUGCCAGCAGCCGCGGUAAUACGUAGGUGGCGAGCGUUAUCCGGAAUGAUUGGGCGUAAAGGGUGCGUAGGCGGUGCUGCAAGUCUGGAGUGAAAGGGAUGAGUUCAACUUAUGCAUGGGUUUGGAA